rnacentral:tRNA from 2 species
GGGGCCGUAGCUCAGCUGGGAGAGCGCCUGGUUUGCAACCAGGAGGUCGUGGGUUCGAAUCCCAUCGGCUCCACCA